AGUGGAAUUUCCGGUGGAGCGGUGAAAUGCGUUGAUAUCGGAAGGAACGCCGAAAGCGAAAGCAGCUAACUAUAGAAUACUUGACGAUGAGGGACGACAGUUUGGGGAGCAAACAGGAUUAGAUACCCUGGUAGUCCAAACCGUAAAUUAUGCUUGCUAGAUGUUUUUAUCAAUUUAUUGGUAGGAGUGUCGUAAUCUAACGAGUUAAGCAAGCCGCCUGGGUAGUAUAUUCGCAAGAAUGAAACUCAAAGGGAUAGGCGGGGGAACACACAAGCAGUGGAUUAUCUAGAUUAAUUGGAUACUAAGCCAAGAAUCUUACCUAGGAUUGACAUGUAUUGUGUCUGCGGUGAAAGUCGCAUAUCCGUAGCAAUACGGAGCUUUACACAGGUGGUGCAUGGUCGUCGUCAGCUCGUGCCGCAAGGUGUCUAGUUAAGUCUGGAAACGAGCGCAACCCUCGUGUUUAGUUAGUAUGUCUAAACAGACUGCUCGGGUAACCGAGAGGAAGGAGAGGAUGACGUCAGAUCCUCAUGCCCCUUACACCUAGGGCCUCAUAGAUAAUACAAUGGGUAGGUACAGCGAGAAGCGAUACCGUGAGGUGGAGCAAAUCUUUAAAACUACCCCUAGUUCGGAUUGUAGUCUGGAACUCGACUACAUGAAGUUGGAAUUGCUAGUAAUGGCAGAUCAGCCAUGCUGCCGUGAAUACGUCCCUGUUCCUUGCACUCACCGCCCGUCAAACCAUGGGAGCUGAG
rnacentral:rRNA from 1 species